UUCAAUCUGUGAUACUCAAACUGUGUGACAUUUUGUUCUUUGCAAGAAGUGCCGCAGAGUUUGCAGUGUUGCCGAUUGAG
ensembl:miRNA Mir293 microRNA 293